rnacentral:rRNA from 1 species
GAUGAACGCUGACAGAAUGCUUAACACAUGCAAGUCUACUUGAAUUUGGGUUUUUAACUUAGAUUUGGGUGGCGGACGGGUGAGUAACGCGUAAAGAACUUGCCUCACAGCUAGGGACAACAUUUAGAAAUGAAUGCUAAUACCUAAUAUUAUGAUAAUAGGGCAUCCUAUAAUUAUGAAAGCUAUAUGCGCUGUGAGAGAGCUUUGCGUCCCAUUAGCUAGUUGGAGAGGUAACAGCUCACCAAGGCGAUGAUGGGUAGCCGGCCUGAGAGGGUGAUCGGCCACAAGGGGACUGAGACACGGCCCUUACUCCUACGGGAGGCAGCAGUGGGGAAUAUUGGACAAUGGACCGAGAGUCUGAUCCAGCAAUUCUGUGUGCACGAUGAAGUUUUUCGGAAUGUAAAGUGCUUUCAGUUGGGAAGAAAGAAAUGACGGUACCAACAGAAGAAGUGACGGCUAAAUACGUGCCAGCAGCCGCGGUAAUACGUAUGUCACGAGCGUUACCCGGAUUUAUUGGGCGUAAAGCGCGUCUAGGUGGUUAUAUAAGUCUGAUGUGAAAAUGCAGGGCUCAACUCUGUAUUGCGUUGGAAACUGUAUAACUAGAGUACUGGAGAGGUAAGCGGAACUACAAGUGUAGAGGUGAAAUUCGUAGAUAUUUGUAGGAAUGCCGAUGGGGAAGCCAGCUUACUGGACAGAUACUGACGCUGAAGCGCGUAAGCGUGGGUAGCAAACAGG